ensembl:lncRNA
GUGCAUUCUGUUGAUGCAGACGGCAUGAAAACGGAAACAAGAAGUAUGCCGGCUCACUGUGCUGCAUACAAUUACACACUACGUCGUACGAUUGAGACAAGGAAACUUGGAAUGACUUUUCAUAGGUUUCCCAGAGACUAUGGGUUGAGGAGGAAUUGGAAGUUUGUCGGCUUAGACCUGGUGUCAUUCCAUCAGUGUUAAACUUCCCGGCUCAUCUUGGAAGAGUACGUGCCAGAAAGACCACGACCAAGCAGCCUUGAGAUCUUAGACAGCGUCUCCCUGAGACCAAAGAACUACAGACUCUUCACAACCUGCUCAAACUCUUGGUACAGGACCUCACCACACGGGUCAAGAAGGUUUCUGUCUCAUUUCUACUCUGAAGCUCACCUUCUCCUGCUCAAACUGCUGACAAAUGUUUCUGCUGCUCUAAAGUCUGCUCUCCAGAACUUCCUAAAAACUCUCAAAGUCUCUUCUGCUGCAGGUUGCUUUGUAGAACUGUUCCAGAAAACCUCACUAAACCACAUGGAGGGGCCUCAAGAUAGUCGUCCAAAUGAAAC